rnacentral:tRNA from 1 species
GCCUUCGUGGUGUAGUGAUCAGCACACUUAACCUGUAACCGAGAGGUCCGUGGUUCGAUUACCGGCGAAGGCG